GACGAACGCUGGCGGCGUGCUUAACACAUGCAAGUCGAACGGAAAGGCCCUGCUUUUGUGGGGUGCUCGAGUGGCGAACGGGUGAGUAACACGUGAGUAACCUGCCCUUGACUUUGGGAUAACUUCAGGAAACUGGGGCUAAUACCGGAUAGGAGCUCCUGCGGCAUGGGGGGGGUUGGAAAGUUUCGGCGGUUGGGGAUGGACUCGCGGCUUAUCAGCUUGUUGGUGGGGUAGUGGCUUACCAAGGCUUUGACGGGUAGCCGGCCUGAGAGGGUGACCGGCAACAUUGGGACUGAGAUGCGGCCCAGACUCCUACGGGAGGCAGCAGUGGGGAAUAUUGCACAAUGGGCGGAAGCCUGAUGCAGCAACGCCGCGUGCGGGAUGACGGCCUUCGGGUUGUAAACCGCUUUCGCCUGUGACGAAGAGUGAGUGACGGUAAUGGGUAAAGAAGCACCGGCUAACUACGUG
rnacentral:rRNA from 1 species